AUUGAACGCUGGCGGAAUGCUUUACACAUGCAAGUCGAGCGGCAGCGCGGCCUUCGGGCUGGCGGAGAGCGGCGAACGGGUGAGUAAUGCAUCGGAACAUGCCCAGUCGUGGGGGAUAACACUUCGAAAGAAGUGCUAAUACCGCAUACGUCCUGAGGGGGAAAGCGGGGGAUCGCAAGACCUCGCGCGAUUGGAGUGGCCGAUGUCAGAUUAGCUAGUUGGUGGGGUAAGGGCCUACCAAGGCGACGAUCUGUAGCUGGUCUGAGAGGAUGAUCAGCCACACUGGGACUGAGACACGGCCCAGACUCCUACGGGAGGCAGCAGUGGGGAAUUUUGGACAAUGGGGGCAACCCUGAUCCAGCCAUUCCGCGUGAGUGAAGAAGGCCUUCGGGUUGUAAAGCUCUUUCGGCAGGAACGAAACGGUGGGCUCUAACAUAGUCCGCUAAUGACGGUACCUGAAGAAGAAGCACCGGCUAACUACGUG
rnacentral:rRNA from 1 species